UCCCUGGUGGCUCAGAGGUUAAAGCGUCUGCCUGUAAUGCAGGAGAGCUGGGUUCAGUCCCUGGGUUGGGAA
rfam:TPA: Bos taurus chromosome 17, whole genome shotgun sequence.